CAACCACAUAGAAGGUGUCUGUGUUGAUGUCUGUUAACUGCAGAUCAUGCAGCCACCCAGAUAAGCUUCAGUAGUUGCUAGUAGUAUAAUCACAACAGUAUAAGGGUUUUACUGAACUUCUUGGAGAUACUUUAUGGUAGCUCUGAGAGUGUCAAAACAGCUUUCGAGGCUUCUCAGGUGUGCAGGGUGAGAGAAGAUAGAGAAGGAUGUUUGAACAAGCAGAGCAGCAUGGUAGAAAUCAGCUGUCAGACUGUCUUAGCUUGCUGUGGCAUUGCAGCCUAAGCAGUGGCUUUUCCAUGUGGUGAGCCAUCGGGCAGAUAUGGUGAGUUAGUUUUGGCUGUGUAUGCUCAAAAUUCCAUCACACGUACCUUUAAAAAGACCUUCCCUCUAGUAGCAUCUCUCUCAAACAGUGAAUUUACUUUGUUGCAGAUCCAGCUUUUGUUGCAGUACUUGAAGAAUGACCCCAGGAAGGCUGUGAAGAGACUUGCAAUCCAAGAUUUAAAGUUGCUGGCCAACAAGACACCACAUACGUGGAGCAGAGAAAACAUUCAGGCACUCUGAAUCUGCUCUUCACACUCCUUAUGACAGCUUGAAGCUGGGCAUGCUGUCUAUUCUUUCCGUGUUAUCGGGGACCAUUGCCAUAAACAGUACUUCAGCACUGCUCCAGGUCUUUGCCGUUUCCAGUCCCAGGAGCUCUGCAGGAAGGGCCAACUCAUGCGAAUUGCAGAGCAACCAUCUUUCCCUCCUGCAUCCAGCCGGAGAGCAUAGCCUGUCAGCACUGACCGUGCUUUGCAAGGCUGGGAAAAACACCCCGAUGUGGAAGAGAGCAUCCACUCCGCUGAUGUCCGCAGGAGCAGCGUCUUCCCUUCUUGCUGCCAGCCCCGCUUCCCUCCCCGCGAUUUCCAGGUCAAAGACACAGCGAAGAGCCCGAGUCGGAGACAGCCAAAAAGUUCGGUAGAGGAAGCUCUGGCUCAGCGUCUUCACUGUUCGCACUGUUUGCGCUGCCUCGCCUCCGCUUUAACCCGCUCAGGCACUGCCGGCCGGGACAGCCCGCAGCCUCCACCGCAGAGGCGGGCAGGAGCAGCACGGCUGGGCCGGCAGCACUGUCCUGGCACUUACACGGAGGGAAGGGAGGAGAAGAAAAGUGAGAGGAAAAGGAGCAGAGGGAAAAUGCGAGUACGAAGAAGCCGCAGACAGCAAGGGAGAGGCAGGCGCGGGCUGCACUGGCACCCAGCGACGGCGGCCGGGACCGCUCCGGGAAGCGGCGGCGCUGGCUCCGGACCGGGCACCGCGACGGGAAGGGGAGUGGAGGAAUCUCUCCUGAGGACUGGGCUUCCCAAAGCCCCUGCUCCUAAACUGGAGGAGCUGGGAGUUUCUAAUAACCUACAUUUUGGGGCGGGGAGAAAGGAAAGGGAAAAAGAAAAAGGGAAAAAGGAAAAAAAUCCAAACCUCGACCUUUUCCCAUGUAGUCCUCAAGGGUGCUUGUCCAAGCCACGAAAAUGGGAAGUGCCUGGGGGAAGGUCGCAUGCAUUUCACUCUUUGUAUGGCACCAGACUGUGUUACUUUCCAGUGCAGCUGAAGGAGAAAUGAAGCCUUACUGGUGAGAACUGAACAAAUCUUUCCAGAUUCAUCUACCUGUGUUUCACAAGUCUGAGAGCAAAUCUGUCUUUUCCUGCAAGAUAAAAAACAUUUUGCAUUUCA